rnacentral:rRNA from 1 species
AUGGCCGAUAUCGAGAAUCCUGUUCCCAAGAAGGACGACGACGAGCUCGCGGCGAUGGUGGCGGAGCCGAGCGAGUACAUCGGGUUCGCGUGCACGUGGAUGCUGCUCUUCUUCGCUAUCGCGCUACACCUCAUGUCAAUCGGCCUCAUGGCGUUCUUCCAGAGAAACUAUCCUGGGACCAAGCUCGACCUUGGCGCGUCCGUCGCGGGGGGCAUAGGCAUAGGUGUUGCCUGGGCCUGUAUAAUGCUUUGUUUCUUUUCUUUCACGAGUACUAUCCCGUCGUCCAAAAUACAAGGGGACGUGGGAGACUCGUAG